rnacentral:lncRNA from 1 species
UUGAAGUUGGACUUGGGCUAAGAUUUUGACCAAACGACACUCUUCAAGUGCAUUCGAUUAUCCAGUUUUCCGAAUUUGUUGUCAUUUUUAUAUCUUUUAUUUUAGUGUUUUGCAAAAAUAUAUAUCCCCAAAAUGCAAAAUUAUACCUUUUAUAGCCAUUUGAAAUAGCCAUAGCCGCUUGAAUUGAUGGAAUGUCUCUUGCACCCACCUUAUCGCCAAUUUAAUUGGCAGAAUGUCCCGUCU